UACGUAGGGGGCAAGCGUUGUCCGGAUUUACUGGGCGUAAAGGGCGCGUAGGCGGCGUGACAAGUCACUUGUGAAAUCUCCGGGCUUAACUCGGAACGGUCAAGUGAUACUGUCGUGCUAGAGUACAGAAGGGGCAACUGGAAUUCUCGGUGUAGCGGUGAAAUGCGUAGAUAUCUGGAGGAACACCGGUGGCGAAGGCGGCAUCCUGGACCGACACUGACGCUGAGGCGCGAAAGCUAGGGUAGCAAACGGG
rnacentral:rRNA from 1 species